AUUGCCCAAUCUUGUUUAUUC
rnacentral:miRNA from 1 species